UACGUAGGGUGCGAGCGUUAAUCGGAAUUAUUGGGCGUAAAGCGUGCGCAGGCUGUUUUGUAAGUCAGAUGUGAAAUCCCCGAGCUCAACUUGGGAACUGCGUUUGAAACUACAAGACUAGAAUAUGUCAGAGGGGGGUAGAAUUCCACGUGUAGCAGUGAAAUGCGUAGAGAUGUGGAGGAAUACCAAUGGCGAAGGCAGCCCCCUGGGAUAAUAUUGACGCUCAUGCACGAAAGCGUGGGGAGCAAACAGG
rnacentral:rRNA from 1 species